GCAUCUUUGAAGCACUGUGGACAAAGCUGGAGGCCCUCAUGCAGACCCCCAAAACGGGGUCCACACCAGGCGGCGCACCGCAUGGCCCAGGACGCAGCCGAGGCGCCCGAGCCACGCGGGCACCGGCAAACGGUGCAGUAGCCCACAAGAGCCCUUGCAACCCACGACAUCGCCCACGGACGAGGUGACCACAAGCAGCAGCAACAAGGCAACGAGGAUUUAAACGCCAGGUGGCAGGGUCAGGGGCAACAAGCAGGAGUUAAC